rnacentral:rRNA from 1 species
UACGUAGGGUGCAAGCGUUGUCCGGAAUUAUUGGGCGUAAAGAGCUCGUAGGCGGUUUGUCGCGUCUGCUGUGAAAACCUGGGGCUUAACCCCGGGCCUGCAGUGGGUACGGGCAGACUAGAGUGUGGUAGGGGAGACUGGAAUUCCUGGUGUAGCGGUGAAAUGCGCAGAUAUCAGGAGGAACACCGGUGGCGAAGGCGGGUCUCUGGGCCAUAACUGACGCUGAGGAGCGAAAGCGUGGGGAGCGAACAGG